CUCCUCUCCUCUCAUUCAUUCUUAAUAAAAAAUAAAUAGAUUAAUUAAUAAUUUAAUAAAGGGGGCAAAUAUAAGAAGAAUCAUACAAGUCAAUCCCUUUACAGCAUCUGUCCCGAAAAAAAAGGAAAGACCAGAGAUGGCUGCAUAUUCACUCAUUUCCACGGUGUUCCACUCUUCCCCAACUUUCUCUCCACUUUCUCGCUCGACAUACAGAAAUCCAUCUCUGUGUUUGUCUAAAUCUUCAUCUUCCUCCUUCCGCAAAACUCCAAUCUCUAUCCUCUCUCUUCUCCGCCAUAAGUCCCAUCAAAACCAGACUCCACUUAAAUCCUUCGAACCCUCUUCCUUCUCCAAACUCCUCUCCUCUAUUAAGCCCGUUGCCAUUUCUCUCGAUUCUUUCCUCGUUCUCUGUACCUCCCUAGCUUUGUCUCUUUCCCUUUGCAUCGCCGAUGUCGAUCCGGCCUCCGCAUUUGUUGUCACCACGCCGAGGAAGUUGCAGUCCGAUGAGCUCGCUACGGUUCGUCUUUUUAAGGAGAACACGCCUUCUGUCGUUUACAUUACCAAUCUUGCGUCCAGGCAGGACGUGUUUACACUCGACGUUUUGGAGGUUCCGCAGGGUUCUGGGUCGGGCUUUGUUUGGGAUAGAGAUGGUCACAUUGUGACUAACUACCAUGUGAUCCGAGGUGCUUCCGAUCUCAAGGUCACUCUUGCUGACCAGACAACUUAUGAUGCUAAAGUAGUUGGAUUUGACCAAGACAAGGAUGUUGCCGUGAUACACGUUGAUGCACCGAGAGACAAGUUGAGACCUAUUCCGGUUGGCAUCUCUGCAGAUUUGCUUGUGGGUCAGAAAGUCUUUGCAAUUGGCAAUCCUUUUGGACUUGACCAUACUCUUACCACUGGUGUUAUUAGUGGGCUUCGUCGAGAAAUUAGCUCUGCGGCUACAGGCCGUCCAAUUCAAGAUGUCAUACAGACUGAUGCUGCAAUUAACCCCGGUAAUAGCGGAGGACCACUUCUAGACAGUUCUGGAAAUCUUAUCGGGAUAAAUACAGCUAUAUAUUCUCCAUCCGGUGCAUCUUCCGGUGUCGGGUUUUCAAUUCCAGUUGACACUGUAAAUGGCAUAGUUGACCAGCUGGUGAGGUUUGGUAAAGUUACAAGACCUAUUUUGGGGAUUAAGUUUGCACCGGAUCAAUCUGUUGAGCAGUUGGGGGUUAGUGGGGUGCUCGUUUUGGAUGCUCCUGCCAGUGGUCCUGCUGGCAAAGCGGGACUAAAACCAACCAAAAGGGAUACCUAUGGAAGGCUCAUAUUGGGUGAUAUCAUAACAUCUGUGAAUGGACAAAAAGUAUCUAGUGGCAGCGACUUGUAUAGAGUUCUAGACCAAUGCAAAGUGGGCGAGAAGUGCUAAACUCAUUGAACUGCAACUCUACAAUUUUGCUCUGGGUUAUUGCUAACUUUUGUAAUGGAAAAAGGGAUAACUGUGGAGGUGUUGCGCGGUGAUCACAAGGAGAAAAUCCCUGUAGUACUAGAGCCAAAGCCUGAUGAGUCAUAACAUAUCAUACCAAUUGGACCGGACCGGGGGCAGAGGGGUAUAUUUAUAUUACAGUACAAAAACAAGGGAUGAAUUAAUUCUCACUGAAAAUGGGGCUUGUACAUAUUUUUAUGCAAGACUUGUUUAAACGCAUCACUAUUUUUGUGUAUAUACUACUAACACAAUCAAGAUUUAUGGUCAUUGUAUUAUCAUGACAUUUGCUUUGGAACAGUCUAUAUUUUAAUACAUAAUAAGCUAUAAACUCUGUUGCUCAGA